AUGAAGGGUUGAAACUAAAGGGAUUGUUUUUGUUAAUAAAUUUGAAUUUAAAUUAAAAGUAUAAAUGCUUUUGUAAGUUUUGGGGACGAGAAGACCCUAGAAGCUUAAAAUUGAUUUUUUAAUUGGGGUAAUUUUUGAAGAAAAAGAUUUUUAUUUAUAAAAGUUUGUAAAUGUUAAGAAGUUACUCUAGGGAUAACAGCAUAAUUGAUUUGAAGAGUUCUUAUCAUAAAAUUAGUUUAUGACCUCGAUGUUGAAUUAAAU
rnacentral:rRNA from 1 species